UGAACGCUGGCGGCAUGCCUUACACAUGCAAGUCGAACGGCAGCACGGGUGCUUGCACCUGGUGGCGAGUGGCGAACGGGUGAGUAAUACAUCGGAACAUGUCCUGUAGUGGGGGAUAGCCCGGCGAAAGCCGGAUUAAUACCGCAUACGAUCUACGGAUGAAAGCGGGGGACCUUCGGGCCUCGCGCUAUAGGGUUGGCCGAUGGCUGAUUAGCUAGUUGGUGGGGUAAAGGCCUACCAAGGCGACGAUCAGUAGCUGGUCUGAGAGGACGACCAGCCACACUGGGACUGAGACACGGCCCAGACUCCUACGGGAGGCAGCAGUGGGGAAUUUUGGACAAUGGGCGAAAGCCUGAUCCAGCAAUGCCGCGUGUGUGAAGAAGGCCUUCGGGUUGUAAAGCACUUUUGUCCGGAAAGAAAUCCUUGGCUCUAAUACAGUCGGGGGAUGACGGUACCGGAAGAAUAAGCACCGGCUAACUACGUGCCAGCAGCCGCGGUAAUACGUAGGGUGCGAGCGUUAAUCGGAAUUACUGGGCGUAAAGCGUGCGCAGGCGGUUUGCUAAGACCGAUGUGAAAUCCCCGGGCUCAACCUGGGAACUGCAUUGGUGACUGGCAGGCUAGAGUAUGGCAGAGGGGGGUAGAAUUCCACGUGUAGCAGUGAAAUGCGUAGAGAUGUGGAGGAAUACCGAUGGCGAAGGCAGCCCCCUGGGCCAAUACUGACGCUCAUGCACGAAAGCGUGGGGAGCAAACAGGACUAGAUACCCUGGUAGUCCACGCCCUAAACGAUGUCAACUAGUUGUUGGGGAUUCAUUUCCUUAGUAACGUAGCUAACGCGUGAAGUUGACCGCCUGGGGAGUACGGUCGCAAGAUUAAAACUCAAAGGAAUUGACGGGGACCCGCACAAGCGGUGGAUGAUGUGGAUUAAUUCGAUGCAACGCGAAAAACCUUACCUACCCUUGACAUGGUCGGAAUCCUGCUGAGAGGCGGGAGUGCUCGAAAGAGAACCGGCGCACAGGUGCUGCAUGGCUGUCGUCAGCUCGUGUCGUGAGAUGUUGGGUUAAGUCCCGCAACGAGCGCAACCCUUGUCCUUAGUUGCUACGCAAGAGCACUCUAAGGAGACUGCCGGUGACAAACCGGAGGAAGGUGGGGAUGACGUCAAGUCCUCAUGGCCCUUAUGGGUAGGGCUUCACACGUCAUACAAUGGUCGGAACAGAGGGUUGCCAACCCGCGAGGGGGAGCUAAUCCCAGAAAACCGAUCGUAGUCCGGAUUGCACUCUGCAACCCGAGUGCAUGAAGCUGGAAUCGCUAGUAAUCGCGGAUCAGCAUGCCGCGGUGAAUACGUUCCCGGGUCUUGUACACACCGCC
rnacentral:rRNA from 1 species